AUAAUACCAGAUAUCUUUUUAAAGGAUGCAUACUAUGUUAAGCAGGAGUGACACCAAUAAUUAAUGAACAAGAUCUCCGUCCUGGUUAUCUUUGAUGAUGAGGAACAGCUGAACAUUCUUAAAGAAUGUCAUGAUGAUAAUGGUCACAAAGGUAUCAUAUCUGUCAUUAACACGAUUGAAGCCAGAUAUUUUUGGCCAAAGUUGACUAACCAAGUGAAGGAAUAUGUACUAUCACUACAGAAGUUAGUCCAGGAUGCUGACUCUUGGGAUCUGCAACUCGAUCCAGCCCUAUUUGGGAUUCUCCAGGCCAUUUCCCGCACGACAAAGUAUUCACCUUUCCAGAUAGCAUAUGUAAGGUCUCCUACACUUCCGGCAGAGAUGAAACUCAAAGAAAUGGAAACACCGAAAGAAGCAACAGAAGACAUUGUUGAAAACUUGAUGAAGUACAGGAAAACUUUACACGACAUAGUUGAGGAAAACAUCAAGGAUGCCCAGACGAAAAUGAAAGAAGAUCAAGGAAGAAAAGUUGCUGCCAAGAAUUCGUUUGCACCUAGGGACAUUGUGUAUAGGAGGAAUUGCCAGAAAUUGCAAAGGAAACAGUCAAAGCUGAAAGAACUGAAUUGGAUUGGGCCAUACACCAUUUCUGAUGUUUCAUCCAAAGGAGUUGCAACUCUUAUGGACAGAUCCGGAACAGUGUUAAAAUUGAAGUGCAGCGUUGGAAACCUCAAGUUAAAGAGGAGAAGACCAAGGCAUUUGAUGGAUCGAGUGAAAAAGCCAUCACCAGUGAUGACAGUUUCCACAGAGGAAACCCAGAAAAAUGAACAUCAGAGUGAUAGUGAGUGUCUUUUAAGAUGGUGCAACAUGAAGUUUAGCCAAAUGAAGACGAGGCUUCUACGAGAUCAUCAUCACCAGUUUUGUCAGAUAGGACCCUGCAGGGAGUCGGAGGAAGACUGAAAGAAUUCUUUGAUGCAGGACAUUUGGCAGCAAUCCAAACUUCGGUGACAUCCAAGGCACUACCAAAAAUCACCUUUCCAUUGCAAAUCCCUGAGUGUCAUGCCAACCCAAGACUGUCACUCACUGCUGAUACACAUGACGAGAAUGAAGACUUUUACGACCAUGUCUUCAAGAUUCUUCUGGCGGAAGUGAAGACUGAAGAUAUUCACACCAAUUUGUGUUCAGCAAUGUUGGCAACGGCAGUUGUGGUGUCCUCGUAUACUUCAAGGAUGCUGCUUCAUGAAACCAUGGAGACAAUCAAUGAAGUUCCGAAUCAUCUGGAAAAAGGUGUCCCUAAGACCAUUCCCCAAGUUGCCUGCAUCGAAGAAAUUGGUUAUUGGCUCCAAUUCCAUUACAGGAAAAGAUCUCCAUUGCCUCGGUGGUCAGAAUUAGCUGGAUGAUUCGAUCAUACAUGCUUAUCUUGGCCUCCUGCAGAGAGAGAGGACACUACUACAGAAAAAUGAAGACUUCAUUCUCCCUUGCUUUCUAAUGGAGAAAUGGACCAGGAGGGACUACCUUUCCUGGUUAUACCCAAAGGUGAAGUUUUCCUCCUAUGCCUUUAUCCUGACGCCCAUUUGCAGCAACCACCACUGGAUUCUCUUGGUCGCCAGUGUGUCAAAGAAAACAGUUUUGGUGUUGGAUCCCCUAGGACACCAACAUCCGGACAUCGAACACAAGUGGAGGAAGUACAUGUACACGAGGGAAAGAUACAUUCCGGAAGGGUUGGAAAAAUGGAGCAGUGACCAUCAAGCUGUAAGUCGUCAAAGAGAAGACAACAGUUGUGGCGUCUUUGUUCUUAUGUAUGCUGAAGCCAUUAUCUGCAACGUAGAUAUGCAGAUAAUGAGGCAGUAUCAUGUGGCCAGAUACAGAAGGUACAUUAAGCAAAGACUGAUGGAUGGUACAAAAGAAGAGGAUGACAUAUGCCAGAUUCCCUUUUGUAGGAAGCCCAAGUCUGGGAUUUGGACACAAUGUCAAGACUGUUCCAUCUGGGUGCACCUACAGUGUUCGAACAACAACAGAAGAAAAGUGUCAAAGGAAGAUCAUAUAUGCCUGUUGUGUGUUUGGCGGGAAGAAUGCAAACUUGUAUGUUAAUGUUGUACAUCCUUAAGUUGCUACUCUUAUGGACAGAUCCGGACGGUGGUUGCUGUUUUUGGGCAAUUUGUAUGAUACCAUAUUUGACUGUUGUGUUUAGUGUGAAGAAUGCAUACUUGAAUAUUAAGUAUACUUUGUACUUAAGAUGGUAGGGGACACCUCCAUAUUUUAUGUACUAUUUAUCAAAAUAAACAAAAAAAGAAU
rnacentral:misc_RNA from 1 species